AUCCAGAUGUACUCUCCCAGGUGGCACAGCAGAGCUGCUGCAUCUGUGGCCAGAGCGGAGCCACCAUCACCUGCUGUGAAACAGACUGUGACCUGAGCUUCCACCUGCCCUGUGCCAAGUAGGGAGGCCGUGUCACCCAGUUCAUGGCACCGUACAGGGCCUUCUGCCCCACACACAGCCCAGAGCAGGCACUGGAGGCGAC